rnacentral:rRNA from 1 species
UUCGCCCUUAGAGUUUGAUCCUGGCUCAGGACGAACGCUGGCGGCGUGCUUAACACAUGCAAGUCGAACGAGGUAAACGGCUUCGGCUGUUUACCGAGUGGCGGACGGGUGAGUAACGCGUGAGCAAUCUGUCCUGCAAGGGGGGAUAACAACUGGAAACAGUUGCUAAUACCGCAUAUGACCACGAUCCCGCAUGGGAUUGAGGUGAAAGCAGCAAUGCGAUGCAGGGUGAGCUCGCGUCCCAUUAGGCAGUUGGUGAGGUAACGGCCCACCAAACCUACGAUGGGUAGCCGACCUGAGAGGGUGAUCGGCCACAUUGGGACUGAGACACGGCCCAGACUCCUACGGGAGGCAGCAGUGGGGAAUAUUGGGCAAUGGGCGCAAGCCUGACCCAGCAACGCCGCGUGAGGGAUGAAGGUUUUCGGAUUGUAAACCUCUGUCCUUGGUGACGAACGCAAUGACGGUAGCCAAGGAGGAAGCCCCGGCUAACUACGUGCCAGCAGCCGCGGUAAUACGUAGGGGGCGAGCGUUGUCCGGAAUGACUGGGCGUAAAGGGCGUGUAGGCGGCACUGUAAGUCUGGAGUGAAAGUCCUGCUUUCAAGGUGGGAAUUGCUUUGGAGACUGCAGAGCUUGAGUACAGAAAGGGUAAGCGGAAUUCCCGGUGUAGCGGUGAAAUGCGUAGAGAUCGGGAGGAACACCAGUGGCGAAGGCGGCUUACUGGGCUGUAACUGACGCUGAGGCGCGAAAGCGUGGGGAGCAAACAGGAUUAGAUACCCUGGUAGUCCACGCGGUAAACGAUGAAUGCUAGGUGUAGGGGGUAUCGACCCCUCCUGCGCCGCAGUUAACACAAUAAGCAUUCCGCCUGGGGAGUACGGCCGCAAGGUUGAAACUCAAAGGAAUUGACGGGGGCCCGCACAAGCAGCGGAGCAUGUGGUUUAAUUCGACGCAACGCGAAGAACCUUACCAAGUCUUGACAUCCAGUUAAGCCUGUAGAAAUACAGAGUGCCUUCGGGCAAACUGAGACAGGUGGUGCAUGGUUGUCGUCAGCUCGUGUCGUGAGAUGUUGGGUUAAGUCCCGCAACGAGCGCAACCCUUAUUGUCAGUUACUAACAGGCAAUGCUGAGGACUCUGACGAGACUGCCGGGGAUAACUCGGAGGAAGGUGGGGACGACGUCAAAUCAUCAUGCCCCUUAUGACUUGGGCUACACACGUGCUACAAUGGUGGUUACAAAGAGAAGCGAACCCGUAAGAGCAAGCGAAUCUCAAAAAAGCCAUCUCAGUUCGGACUGUGGGCUGCAACCCGCCCACACGAAGUUGGAGUUGCUAGUAAUCGCGAAUCAGAACGUCGCGGUGAAUACGUUCCCGGGCCUUGCACACACCGCCCGUCA